CUCCCUCCCUCUACUCUUUCUCUCUCUCCCCGUCGCCUCCUCUCCUCAGUCAUCGCUCCUCCCCUCCCUCCAGUCAGUAGCAUGGCGUCUCUCAGCCUCCUGCUGCUCUGCACCGCUCUGCUCCACGCCGCCCAGUCUUUACCUGCAGCUCGCGGCGGGGGGCGUGGCAUAGACGUGUCGGUGGGUGGAGUCCGACGUCAGCGCAGAGACCUCCAUAACAUGCUGCCUUAUGAGGACCAGAUGAUGUCAUAUCCUGUCUCACAUGGGAGGGGAGGCGUCAGCAACCUGUACUACCAAUCAGAUGACUGGAAAGGGAGGGGCUUGGACCAAGCCCUGCAGCGAUUGGUGGAGAGAGACCAGAGGCGGGAGCUUGAAGAGGAGCAGCGAGCAGCCUACCUGGCUGCUCUGCUCCGCCUACUGAGCGAGGCAGAGAGUGCCGGAUUGGUCGGUCCAGGAGACUUGGAGGUGGUUGAGGAAGAGCAGGAUGAGGAGGAUGAUGAGGGGCCACCGGGAGACUUUCAGGGCCCAGCUCCCCCAGACUACCGUGAGACUGGGCAGGGAAUGAGCAUGGGGAGACCCUCGGCUGCCUGGUGGGGCCCCUUGGAGCCCCAGCUGGCACAGGUCCUGCUGGACAGGAUGGACCCUCAGCUGGUUCAGAGUCUGCUGGAGCGAGCGAGACAGGAGCGACUUCAGCAGACAGGUCGAGUUUCAUCGGGAUUGAACCGGGAGGCUCUGAGACAUCUGGUUGCUAAGAUACUGUCCAGCAUCGGCCCUAACAACAUCCCAGCAAUGUCAUCCACUCGCCGAACCAGAAGGGACCUGUCAAUCACUGCAGCUCAGCCUGUUAGCUCCACCCACAGGAGAACCAGACGUUCCCUUGACGACAUGGCUCCUGCAUUGCCUAGCAACAAUCCCCCUCUCCUCAGGGUGAAGAGGCUGGAGGAUGAUGCAGAGGAGGAGAAGCUCCACUCCCCUGUCGCUGGGCUCCAGAGGAUGAAACGCAUCGAUACCAUGUCAACCGGCGAUGUGGAAGAAUUGAAUCAUGGGAGUCGUAAGCGCCAGAGGAGAGCCCUGAACUACGACCCCCAAAUCCUGAUCGAUCAGAUUCUGGACUACAUGAGGGAGUGA
rnacentral:lncRNA from 1 species